rnacentral:rRNA from 1 species
GUUUGAUCCUGGCUCAGGAUGAACGCUAGCGGCAGGCUUAACACCUGCAAGUCGAGGGGCAGCGCGAUGUAGCAAUACAUUGGCGGCGACCGGCGCACGGGUGAGUAACACGUAUGGAAUCUGCCCUUUACUGGGGAACAGCCCGGAGAAAUCCGGAUUAAUGUCCCAUAAUAAGCGAGGUGGCAUCACCUUGUUUUGAAAGCUCCGGCGGUAAAGGAUGACCAUGCGUCCGAUUAGCUAGUUGGUGAGGUAACGGCUCACCAAGGCUACGAUCGGUAGGGGGCCUGAGAGGGUUAUCCCCCACACUGGUACUGAGACACGGACCAGACUCCUACGGGAGGCAGCAGUGAGGAAUAUUGCGCAAUGGAGGCAACUCUGACGCAGCCAUGCCGCGUGCAGGAAGAAGGCGCUACGCGUUGUAAACUGCUUUUAUCCGGGAAGAAACCCCAGGACGUGUCCUGGGUUGACGGUACCGGAGGAAUAAGCACCGGCUAACUUCGUGCCAGCAGCCGCGGUAAUACGAAGGGUGCAAGCGUUAUCCGGAUUCAUUGGGUUUAAAGGGUGCGUAGGCGGAACAAUAAGUCAGCGGUGAAAGCCCGUAGCUUAACUACGAAUUGCCGUUGAUACUGUUGUUCUUGAGUACGCUUGACGUGGGCGGAAUGUGCCGUGUAGCGGUGAAAUGCUUAGAUAUGGCACAGAACACCGAUGUGAAGACAGCUCACGAAGCAAACUGACGCUAGGCACGAAAGCGUGGGGAUCAAACAGGAUAGAUACCCUGGUAGUCCACGCCGUAAACGAUGAUCACUCGUGAUUGGCGAUUA